rnacentral:rRNA from 1 species
CAAGACAACUUUACGGAGUUGACGAUUGACGGAGCGAAGCGACGUCAAAGCGUUCAUUAAAGUCGAGUUGGCUUAGGGAUACGUUCGUUGGGUAGGGGAGCGUUCUGUAAGCCUGUGAAGGUGUGUCGUGAGGCAUGCUGGAGGUAUCAGAAGUGCGAAUGCUGACAUAAGUAACGAUAAAGCGGGUGAAAAGCCCGCUCGCCGGAAGACCAAGGGUUCCUGUCCAACGUUAAUCGGGGCAGGGUGAGUCGACCCCUAAGGCGAGGCCGAAAGGCGUAGUCGAUGGGAAACGGGUUAAUAUUCCCGUACUUGGUGUUACUGCGAAGGGGGGACGGAGAAGGCUAUGUUGGCCGGGCGACGGUUGUCCCGGUUUAAGCGUGUAGGUGUGUGUUCCAGGUAAAUCCGGUUCACUUUAACACUGAGGCGUGAUGACGAGGCACUACGGUGCUGAAGCAACAAAUGCCCUGCUUCCAGGAAAAGCCUCUAAGCAUCAGGUAACAUCAAAUCGUACCCCAAACCGACACAGGUGGUCAGGUAGAGAAUACCAAGGCGCUUGAGAGAACUCGGGUGAAGGAACUAGGCAAAAUGGUGCCGUAACUUCGGGAGAAGGCACGCUGACACGUAGGUGAAGUGAUUUACUCACGGAGCUGAAGUCAGUCGAAGAUACCAGCUGGCUGCAACUGUUUAUUAAAAACACAGCACUGUGCAAACACGAAAGUGGACGUAUACGGUGUGACGCCUGCCCGGUGCCGGAAGGUUAAUUGAUGGGGUCAGCGCAAGCGAAGCUCCUGAUCGAAGCCCCGGUAAACGGCGGCCGUAACUAUAACGGUCCUAAGGUAGCGAAAUUCCUUGUCGGGUAAGUUCCGACCUGCACGAAUGGCGUAAUGAUGGCCAGGCUGUCUCCACCCGAGACUCAGUGAAAUUGAACUCGCUGUGAAGAUGCAGUGUACCCGCGGCAAGACGGAAAGACCCCGUGAACCUUUACUAUAGCUUGACACUGAACAUUGAGCCUUGAUGUGUAGGAUAGGUGGGAGGCUUUGAAGUGUGGACGCCAGUCUGCAUGGAGCCGACCUUGAAAUACCACCCUUUAAUGUUUGAUGUUCUAACGUGGACCCGUAAUCCGGGUUGCGGACAGUGUCUGGUGGGUAGUUUGACUGGGGCGGUCUCCUCCUAAAGAGUAACGGAGGAGCACGAAGGUUGGCUAAUCCUGGUCGGACAUCAGGAGGUUAGUGCAAUGGCAUAAGCCAGCUUGACUGCGAGCGUGACGGCGCGAGCAGGUGCGAAAGCAGGUCAUAGUGAUCCGGUGGUUCUGAAUGGAAGGGCCAUCGCUCAACGGAUAAAAGGUACUCCGGGGAUAACAGGCUGAUACCGCCCAAGAGUUCAUAUCGACGGCGGUGUUUGGCACCUCGAUGUCGGCUCAUCACAUCCUGGGGCUGAAGUAGGUCCCAAGGGUAUGGCUGUUCGCCAUUUAAAGUGGUACGCGAGCUGGGUUUAGAACGUCGUGAGACAGUUCGGUCCCUAUCUGCCGUGGGCGCUGGAGAACUGAGGGGGGCUGCUCCUAGUACGAGAGGACCGGAGUGGACGCAUCACUGGUGUUCGGGUUGUCAUGCCAAUGGCACUGCCCGGUAGCUAAAUGCGGAAGAGAUAAGUGCUGAAAGCAUCUAAGCACGAAACUUGCCCCGAGAUGAGUUC